CGGGUGAGUAAUACAUAGGAAUCUGCCCAGUAGCGGGGGACAACUCGGAGAAAUCCGAGCUAAUACCGCAUACGCCCUACGGGGGAAAGCAGGGGAUCUUCGGACCUUGCACUAUUGGAUGAGCCUAUGUCAGAUUAGCUUGUUGGUGGGGUAACGGCCUACCAAGGCGACGAUCUGUAGCUGGUCUGAGAGGACGAUCAGCCACACUGGGACUGAGACACGGCCCAG
rnacentral:rRNA from 1 species